UACACACCGCCCGUCACACCAUGGGAGUCGUUUGUCUCCAGAAGUGGCUGCGCCAACCCGCAAGGGAGGCAGGUCCCCAAGGAGUGACCGGUAACUGGGGUG
rnacentral:rRNA from 1 species